GGUCUUCCAGGAUCGCGCAUUAGCGGACGCUGGCUACGGGUGGCCGGGCGGGAUGUAACCGGCUGCUGAGCUGGCAGUUCUGUGUCCCCAGGCUUCGGCCCGGCCGCCGCCGCACAUAAACUGCGAGGAGGAGCUUUACGACUUCUCGGUCUUCGGGGCCGGGCGCAGCAAGGGCCAGACUCUGCGCUAGCAGGCGCUGCGCGCCAACCGGCCGGCCCCUGUCGCAGAAGGUGCAACCGAUCGCACUGUCGCGCAGAAGCUCCUCAAUGGCCAGCGCCAGCUGCAGCCCCGGCUGCCCACUCGCCUCACCUGAGCCUGGGUGGAACAAUCCAAAGUUUUAAUCAAAGAAGGUGGUAUUCAGUUGCUGCUUACAAUAGUUGAUACCCCAGGAUUUGGAGAUGCAGUGGAUAAUAGUAAUUGCUGGCAGCCUGUUAUCAAUUACAUUGAUAGUAAAUUUGAGGACUACCUAAAUGCAGAAUCGCAAGUGAACAGAUGUCAGAUGCCUGGUAACAGGGUGCACUGUUGUUUAUACUUCAUUGCUCCUUCAGGACAUGGACCGUUACAUAACUGAAGACUCCCACCUUCAGGCAGGAUUGGGUAGUACAUGUUUGUAACUACCUGGCAUUGCCUUUUGUUGAGACUUAAACCAUUGGAUAUUGAGUUUACAAAGCAUUUGCAUGAAAAAGUGAAUAUCAUCCCACUUAUUGCCAAAGCAGACACACUCAUGCCAGAGGAAUGCCAACAGUUUAAAAAACAGAUAAAGAAAUCCAAGAACAUAAAGUUAAAAUAUAUGAAUUUCCAGAAACAGAUGAUGAAGAAGAAAAAAAACUUGUUAAAAAGAUAAAGGACCAUUUACCUCUUGCUGUGGUGGGUAGUAAUACUAUCAUUGAAGUUAAUGGCAAAAGGGUCAUAGGAAGGCAGUAUCCUUGGAGUGUUGCUGAAGUUGAAAAUGGUGAACAUUGUGAUUUUACAGUUUUAAGAAAUAUGUUGAUAAGAACACACGCAGGACUUGAAAGAUGUUACUAAUAAUGUCCACUACGAGAACUAUGGAAUCAGAAAACUGGCAGCUGUGACUUAUCAUGGAGUUGAUAACAAGAAGAAUAAAGGGCAGCUCACUAAUAGAGACGGUAUUUCACCAUGUUAGCCAGGAUGGUCUUGAUCUCCUGACCUCGUGAUCCACCCGCCUCGGCCUCCCAAAGUGCUGGGAUUACAGGCAUGAGCCACCACGCCCGGCCAAGUGGAAUGAAUUUUCAAGAGCAUUGAAGUUACCAUAAGGGGCCUAGAAAUACUCUGUAUACCUAUAUAGUGCUCUAGGAGCCCUCUGGCACAAAUGGAAGAAGAAAGAAGGGAGCAAGUAGCUAAAAUUAAGAAGAUGGAGAUGGAGAUGGAGCAGGUGUUUGAGAUGAAGGUCAAAGAAAAAGUUCAAAAACUGAAGGACUCUGAAGCUGAGGUAAUCAGUCCAAUAUUCCAUCUCUUAGCAGACAUUGUGUUCCUUUUUAAAUAGUAUCUUCAGUAAAAUUUAUAGAUAAUAUAACCUUCUUAUACAUAUUUUUUAAAAAUUAAUACCCUAGCAUAACAAAAUGGAGAAAUUUCUACAAGCAAGCACUGUUUACAAUAAAAUAAUAUAGACUUCAAUACAUAAGUGCUUGGACAUAGUGUAUUAGGUAUGACAGCAUAAUAGAGUACUUACAAUGAAUUAUUAAAGUUAUAAUGAACAAGUGUGAGUUGGGAAAAAUAAAAUUAUAAGCCAUUCCAUACAGGUGGCAUAAGAACACU
ensembl:lncRNA novel transcript